rnacentral:rRNA from 1 species
CCUACGGGAGGCUGCAGUAGGGAAUAUUGCGCAAUGGAGGAAACUCUGACGCAGCGACGCCGCGUGAGCGAUGAAGGUCUUCGGAUCGUAAAGCUCUGUCCUUGGGGAAGAAGAUCGCAAGAUUUGACGGUACCCGAGGAGGAAGCCCCGGCUAACUACGUGCCAGCAGCCGCGGUAAUACGUAGGGGGCAAGCGUUGUCCGGAAUUAUUGGGCGUAAAGGGUGCGUAGGCGGCCUUUUAAGUCAGGUGUGAAAGCCCACGGCUUAACCGUGGGAUUGCAUUUGAAACUGGAGGGCUUGAGUAUCGGAGAGGGUAGUGGAAUUCCCAGUGUAGCGGUGAAAUGCGUAGAUAUUGGGAGGAACACCAGUGGCGAAGGCGACUACCUGGACGAAAACUGACGCUGAUGCACGAAAGCUAGGGUAGCAAACAGGAUUAGAUACCCGUGUAGUC